rnacentral:rRNA from 1 species
GAUGAACGCUGGCGGCGUGCCUAAUACAUGCAAGUCGAGCGAACAGACGAGGAGCUUGCUCCUUCGACGUUAGCGGCGGACGGGUGAGUAACACGUAGGUAACCUACCUAUAAGACUGGGAUAACUUCGGGAAACCGGAGCUAAUACCGGAUAAUAUUUCGAACCGCAUGGUUCGAUAGUGAAAGAUGGCUUUGCUAUCACUUAUAGAUGGACCUGCGCCGUAUUAGCUAGUUGGUAAGGUAACGGCUUACCAAGGCAACGAUACGUAGCCGACCUGAGAGGGUGACCGCCCACACUGGAACUGAGACCCGGCCCAGCCCCCCACGGGAGGCAGCAGUGGGGAAUCUCCCGCAAGGGGCGAAAGCCUGACGGAGCAACGCCGCGUGAGGGAUGAAGGUUUUCGGUUCGUAAAACCUUUUUAUUAGGGAAGAAAAAACGUUUAAGUAACUUUCCACGUUUUGACGGGACCUAAUCAGAAAGCCCCGGCUACCUACGU